rnacentral:rRNA from 1 species
CCUACGGGGGGCUGCAGUAAGGAAUAUUGGUCAAUGGACGAAAGUCUGAACCAGCCAUCCCGCGUGCAGGAUGAAAGCCCUAUGGGUUGUAAACUGCUUUUAGCAGAGAAGAAAAGCUUUCAUUAAUGAGAGUCUGACGGUAUCUGCAGAAUAAGCACCGGCUAACUCCGUGCCAGCAGCCGCGGUAAUACGGAGGGUGCGAGCGUUAUCCGGAAUUACUGGGUUGAAAGCGGGCGUAGAAGUCAGAUGAGAAAUCUUGUCGCUUAACGAUAAAAUUGCCAAUGAUACUGGUAGUCUUGAGUUGGGUUGAGGUUAGCGGAAUGUGACAUGUAGCGGUGAAAUGCAUAGAUAUGUCAUAGAACACCAAUUGCGAAGGCAGCUAACUGGGCCUUGAUUGACGCUGAGGCACGAAAGCGUGGGUAGCGAACAGGAUUAGAUACCCGGGUAGUC